rnacentral:lncRNA from 1 species
UUUUUUUUUGUCAAGUCCUCUGCCACCACCCCACCUUCUUUGUAUGGACUUAAAAGUAGCAGUCAUUUUUAUAAGGCUUCCUUAUGGCUUUUAUUUAUAGGUCUAAUUAUGUCAUUAAUAUUACAAAUUCACUAUCUCUUUAGGAGCUUCAGUUCCAUUAUAUGAUUCAGGAUAAUCUAAUUUUUUUUUUUUUUCAUGCUUAGAAAAUGACAAAUACUUUCAGGCCACCCUCAUAGAAAAUGGUAUUGUCAAUUUUUUUUUCCCCACAGAAUUAAAAACUAUUGUCAAAAGAAACAUUUGAAAUCAAUUACUGUGAGCAAAAUUUGGACAUUUUUUAAAAACUUGAUUUAUUUCAAAGAAAAUGUGAAAAUGAACACCAUCAGAAAGUUACUGAAAAUGAGAUUUAAAUGAAGAAAGUGUGAGGUCUACUUAUUUUUAAAAACCCAAAUGAAAGAAAAACUACAUUCUAGAAAUGACAUUUCUCAUAAUUUCCCACUUAAUGGUCACUAAAUUAUCCUAUUUCAUGAUCCCAGGGCUUGGGACAGUUGUGGGACCUCUGUAAUAUUUAUGUCCUGAGUCAUUGUGAAUAACGACUUAUAGAAUAAUUUUUAUUGUGAAAUUUAAUGCACUGGUCACAUUAAUAGCAUCAACAUCUGCUCUCACUUAUCUUUAAAAAGCUAACCAAAAUGAUGGCAAGUUUAGAAACAGAAGCUCACACCAGCAAUAAGAAUAUGGUUCUAAUUUUCUUUUGAAUGAAAAGGAUAGAAAAAGUCAUUUUGCAUUGUUGAUUUGUGAGUGAAGUUGGAGCUAAUGUGAAUCUAGCAUCUUGUUAACUUCAGCUUUCUCAGGACUCAUGACCUCUGGGCCUGCCAAACCUAGAUUGGCUAAAUGAUACUAUAAAGAUCCCGAAUAUUCUUCUUUGGUCUUCAUUAAACAUACUCUCAAACUAGGCUCUUCAUGGACUAUGAUUUGGUGCCAUUUGUAACUGUCCUGGUGACCAAAUCUCAAUCUCAUUCAUUUAUUGCCCUUUUCAAAAAUUAAUCAAGAGGACUUAUUAUUUACCAGUUUCUUAGUCUUAAAUAAGUAAUUAUUAUAAGGUAUUCAAAAUUUGAGAUGUUCAAAACCUACAUGAAUCCUGUUUAUACUUCAGACCUAAAAGUUUAUGAGAGGACAGAACUACUUUCUUUUAGAUACAAGGAAGAUUGUUCUUGAUUCAUGAUAAUUUUCAGUAAUUUAUUAACUAGCAGGUAGGUGAUGAGCCUUUUUUUUUUUAAUGAGUUACCUUACAUUUCCAAAUAAUGUUUUAAAACCCAGUAGCUCUUUCUGUAAUUACCUUCAUUUUCCAUGUUUAUUAUUGAAUCAUUGAGAAACAUAAUUUAAAAUUUAUAUAGUUCCAUUCUAUGUAGGUGUUAAAAGCAUUUUAUAAAAGUACAUAUUUUUAAUUGUUUUUAGCUUCUGAAUAUAGCAGCAAUAAAAAUACAAAUUUGUGGGUAGGGGCUGGGGAUGUGGC